AUUGAACGCUGGCGGCAUGCUUUACACAUGCAAGUCGAACGGCAGCGCGGGCUUCGGCCUGGCGGCGAGUGGCGAACGGGUGAGUAAUGCAUCGGAACGUGCCCAGUAGUGGGGGAAGGCCCGGCGAAAGCGGAAUUAAUACCGCAUACGACCUGGGGGGGAAAGCGGGGGCCCGAAAGGCCUCCCCCUUUUGGACCGCCCGAUGUCGGAUUAGCUAGUUGGUGGGGUAAAGGCUUACCAAGGCGACGAUCCGUAGCUGGUCUGAGAGGACGACCAGCCACACUGGGACUGAGACACGGCCCAGACUCCUACGGGAGGCAGCAGUGGGGAAUUUUGGACAAUGGGGGCAACCCUGAUCCAGCCAUGCCGCGUGCGGGAAGAAGGCCUUCGGGUUGUAAACCGCUUUUGUUCGGGAAGAAAUCCUCUGGGCUAAUACCCCGGGGGGAUGACGGUACCGGAAGAAUAAGCACCGGCUAACUACGUG
rnacentral:rRNA from 1 species